rnacentral:rRNA from 1 species
CAGUCGCCGCGGUAAUACAGAGGGUGCGAGCGUUAAUCGGAUUUACUGGGCGUAAAGCGUGCGUAGGCGGCUAAUUGAGUCGGAUGUGAAAUCCCCGAGCUUAACUUGGGAAUUGCAUUCGAUACUGGUUAGCUAGAGUGUGGGAGAGGAUGGUAGAAUUCCAGGUGUAGCGGUGAAAUGCGUAGAGAUCUGGAGGAAUACCGAUGGCGAAGGCAGCCAUCUGGCCUAACACUGACGCUGAGGUACGAAAGCAUGGGGAGCAAACAGGAUUAGAUACCCGAGUAGUCCCUGUCUCUUAUAA